CUCUGACCAAGUCCGAGGCCGCCGGGCUCAUGGGAGAGGCACCCCUCCGCCCCAGGCCGCCUCGUGCGUAUGGCGUCGCCCCAGUCUUCCGAACAGCUAACCUCGAACUAGGAUGCGGCCCUCUGCGCCACCCCGUGGGAACCAAGGGUACCAAAGCCUCCCGGGGAGACCGGCCUUGGACAAGAGAACGUUCCUCGCAAGCGGAUUUUUUUCCUCAUAUCGUUGUUUUUAAAGACUUUGUCUCCCAAUCAAGAGAAUGAUUUGACUCUACUCUGUCCAUCCUAUCCCCGGCCUCUAUACGCCCCGCUACCCCCAACAGUUGAUUGCAUCCAUGGACACAGAACCCAAGGAUACAGAGGGCCUUGAAUUUGAGUAAAUGAGACAGGUCUCUCUAUUCCCUGAGACACAGCAGUAUUGAAAUUAGGCCAACUCAUAACCCUGCAGUGGCCUCUUAAGUGCUCAAGUGAAAGGAAGAGUCACACAUCUCUCACAUUAUAUCAAACGCUAGAAAUGAUGAAACUUAGUGAGGAAGGCAUGUGGAAAGCCAAGACAGGCUGAAAGCUAGGCCUUUUGCAAACAUUUAGCCAAGUUGUGAAUGAAAAGGAAAAGUUCUUGAAGGAAAUUGAAAGUGGUACUCCAGUGAACACACAAUGAUAAGAAAGCAAAACAGCCUAUCACUGAUACAGAAUUUUUCAUGGUCUGGAUAGAAGAUCAAGCCCGUCAUAACAUUCCCUUAAGCCAAAACCUGGUCCAGAGCAAGGCCCUAACUCUCUUCAAUUCUGUGAAGGCUGAGAGAGGCGAGGAAGCUGCAGAAGAAAAGUUUGAAGCUAGCAGAGGUUGGCUCAUGAGGUUUAAGGAAAGAAGCUGUCUUUAUAACAUCAGAGUGCAAGGUGAAGCAGCAAGUGCUGAUGUAGUAGCUGCAGCAAGUUAUCCAGAAUCUAGCUAAGAUAAUUAAUGAGGGUGGUUAGACUAAACAACAAAUUUUCAACGCAGACAAAACAGCUGUCUAUUGGAAGAGGAUGCCAUCUAGGACUUUCAUAGCCAGAGAGGAAAAGUCAAUGCCUGACUUCAAAGCUUCGAAGGACAGACUGACUAUCUUGUUAGGGGCCAGUGGAGCUGGUGACUUGAAGUUGAAGCCAAUCCUCACUUACCUUUCUGAAAAUCUUAGGAUCCUUAAGAAUUAUGCUAAAUCUACUUUGCCUGUGCUCUAUAAAUGGAACAACAAGCCUGGAUUACAGCACAUCUGUUUACCACAUGGUUUUCUGAAUAUUUUAAGCCCAUUGUUGGGAUCUCCUGCUCAGAAGAAAAGAUUGCUUUCAAAAUAUGACUGCUCAUUGACAAAGCACCUGGUCACCCAAGAGCUCUGAUGGAGAGCAAGAGACACCAGAGAGUUACUGGGAAACUGUGGCAUCUUGUUUCAUAGACCGAAGUAGCCUUUGGUUCAUCCAGGAACAUCCCAUCCUCUGGACCUUCAGGACUGUAUCAUUGGGAGCAGAAAGGGCCAGGAGUGCCACACUAAGAAACAACCACCGGCAGGAACAGACUUGAAAUGGAAGCUGGGCUUGCUCUGAGGCCCUCGGCUGACAGUGACCACACCUGCUGGGUGCUGAGGGCGGUGCACAGGGAGCAGAUGGCCUCUGCAUCUUCGGGGCUUUUCUUCUUUAACUGCAGGAGCUGGGCUGCUUGGAUCAGGGGUUCCAUGGUCUCAGCAACUUCCCUCUGGUGCAGGUUUCUUCCCCGAAGCCACUCCUCCAGCUGACUUAUAUUGUACCUUAGACACAGGAAGAGUGAGCUCUGUUAAACCUGGCCUCCUACUUCACUGGGAAGAGCUCACCUCUUGUGUUUAUUUUGCAGGCCAGCUGCCAUGAGUAUUAUCAUUCUCCUCAUCUUAAUUGUCUCACACGGGCAAAAGCGUGAAAAGUAGCUGGCACUCAAUCACUUUUUGUGAAAUGAGUGGGUGCUUAAAAUCAAGCCAAGAUGAAGUACCUAAAGUGUCUGUACUAAGUUAAUGAGCAAAAAAGGCAUUAACUAUAUUGAAUUAAAACAACUUAACAUUUAACAUUCGCAAACAUGUUUGUACUUCUCUGUGAGCCUUCAUGCCUCUUAAGUCAUUAAUUUUUCUCUCUGACCUAUCCACAUCAUAUUUACAAUCUAUAUAUUAAAGUAUGUAAAUGUGUUUAAGCUCGGAACUAAUUUGUUUACCGGGUCACCAUCUCAGUGUGUGAUGAAUUUCACCAACCAGUAAGAAGGUGAUGGAUUUGAGUCACAUACCGACUGUGACAAGGACAAUCCGUUGGAUUUGGAUUUCAUUUUCAGAGACAAGUGUCCCGUGCCUGACUGGAGCUGGUGUGUGCCAGGCCAAGGCGCCUCUCGUACCUGAGCUGCAUGCCUGUGCUCCAGGAGCAGACGUCCUUCCUCAGAAGCAGGUUGUUGAGAGUCACUGCGCUGAUCAUGUAGAAGAGCUGUUUGAACACCUGGAGGAUGAUCUCGGGGUCCAGGCCCUGGUCGCACAUGACUGUGUGGAAGGAAUUCAUCUGGCGGAUGAUGGCUUCCAGGCAGUAGGAUUUAUCUCCAUCUGCCAGGCUGGAGGUGCGCUUCCGGUAGCCCGUGGGCUUCACCCCAGACAGACCCUGAAUGCUCUCGUUCUCCAACAUGGCAGACACUGAAAGAAAAGCAUGAUUAGAGAAGCUGCAUGUUCCCAAAGAAGAUCUGUUUUCGGGUCACUGAGAUCACACAGUACUCAGGGCUUUGGAAGUGAUCCCACCCAGAGGUGAACAAGGUCGACAUGCUCAGGAACUUACAGCAUUUGGCAUGGAAUUUCUAACCUGUUGAUUUCUACACAGAAUAGGACUUCCACAUAGAAAUCUUGGACUAAACCUGUGGACCAAAUUUUCGCUUAAAUUUAUUGGUGAUGGGCCAGAGGUAAAAGGCACGUACCAGCUUAAUUCUGUACUGGCUUCUGUGCUGAGACCAACAUUUGAGCAACUUGGAUGUAGUCAUGGCCCAGCCACUGACCUGGGCCUGGACCCUGAGAUCAUCCUAUAGUUGUUCAAAUAGCUUUUCUCCAUCAGCCACCGACCAUGUAAAUCUUAGGUGAGCUGGUCUGUCAUACUUACUGCACAGCACUUAACUACGUGUCAGGCACUUUAUAUUCAGUAUUCCUUUUAAUCUUCCAACAACCUAUUUCCUAAUGAGGAAAUUGAGGCAUAAAGAGGUUAAAUAACUUGCCCAAGGUCACCCUGCUAGGAAGUGGCAGGGCCAGGAUUUGAACCCAGGUAUGUCUGAUUCCAGAACUGAUGCUGUUAACCAUCAUCUUACCUGAGUCAUGAAACAUCCCCAGUUCUCCCUAUGUCUGGUGAGAAUAAACUGGCGCCUCAUAGGAGAGUCUCAGACAGGAAGAAGGAUUUGGAAUGAAUCUUAUCCCAAGGGAUGUAUUUCUGGAUGGCAUGUAGGACUCUGUCCUACUUGGAAUUCCCUUAUAACCUACUUGUGUUGUAAGAACCUGGGGAAAGAAUUACUUACAUGGUCCAGGAGACUAUUUCCUCAACAGCCUUUAAGGAGCACAGUGAGUGAUGCAUAUACGUGUCACUUUUCUUGUGACUUAAAAAAUAACUGCUCUUAUUUUCAAAUCCGAUUUCAUGUUAAGUGCCCAAGUGUACUGCUUUGGACAGAAUGUUCAAUAAAUAUUUAUUGCAUGAGUGUUUA